GCGGCACGCGUGGAGCUGGGGCGGCUCUGGCAAAGGGGCCGCUGCUGCUUUAAGAGCCGCCUCCCCCUCUCCUCCCUUUGACAAUGGUCUGAACCGAGCUCUGCUUCCCAAAGCAAAAUUUGUAAUAUGCCAUUUUUCCGAUGGACGCUUCUCCUUCGGGCUGCUGACGGAGCCGCGGGAAGAUGCGGGGCCGCUGCCUCGCCACGCAGCCGGGGCAGGUUCCGGAGGGCGCGGGGGCGCGCGCGGGUCUGAGCCGCCUUUCUCCUCCCAUUGCCAGGGGAAUGGUCCAGGAGCGCCGGGCGUGAGCCUCCCCUCUGGUCCAGCCGGCGACUGCGGUUGUCAUUGAUCCAUUGAAGAAGCAGGACCCGAAAACUACUGGCAUUAGCAAUGAUGUGUGAAGUGAUGCCCACGAUUAAUGAGGACACCCCAAUGAGCCAAAGGGGGUCCCAAAGCAGUGGCUCGGACUCAGACUCCCAUUUUGAGCAGCUGAUGGUGAAUAUGCUUGAUGAAAGGGACCGUCUUCUAGACACCCUACGGGAGACCCAAGAAAGCCUUUCGCUUGCCCAGCAAAGACUGCAGGAUGUCAUCUACGACAGAGAUUCGCUCCAGAGACAGCUCAACUCAGCCCUGCCACAGAAGGAAUGAUAUCAACAGGAAAACAGCCACUAGUGUCUAACCCAGCCGUGGGCAAACUACGACCCGCGGGCCGGAUCCGGCCCAUUUGAAAUGAAUAAAACUAAAAAUAAAAAGACC